rnacentral:lncRNA from 1 species
UUUGACAGCCAAUGCGAUUAGUUCAGAGCAAAUAUGUAUCGACAAAAAUAUAGCUGUAGAUACCUGUAAGCAACAAGGAGUCAACAUCAGCUGUCCCUCUGGCACUGUUAUAUAUCGACCAGAUAUAAAAGCAGCGAGUGAGCCCUGUAGAAACAAAAAUCCAUCUUAUAAAGAAAACACGGUAGACCUCCUAGUUGAUACUUCAGACUGUUACUGGAAGCAACGUUGUAAGAUAAGAUUCCCAACAACGCCACUAUUAAAAUAUUUUGUCGAGGUGGAAUCUCUUUACAUCCACAAUUGGCAGUGUGUCAAUAUGACAAGUAAGUAAAAGCCAUGUAUAUUUGUUCCGGACCAUAUGAGUAUUUGGACCAUACGCGUAUGGUCAUGACCAUAUGGGUAUAUACUCGUAUGGUCCGACCAUACGCGUAUGGUCGGG